rnacentral:rRNA from 1 species
GACAGAGGGGGCGAGCGUUGUCCGGAGUCACUGGGCGUAAAGCGCGCGCAGGCGGUAACCUAAGUGUCGUGUGAAAGCCCCCGGCUCAACUGGGGGAGGCCACGGCAAACUGGGUCGCUCGAGCUGCGGAGAGGCCCCUCGAAUUGCCGGUGUAGCGGUGAAAUGCGUAGAGAUCGGCAGGAAGACCAAGGGGGAAGCCUGGGGGCUGGCCGCAGGCUGACGCUGAGGCGCGACAGCGUGGGGAGCACACCGG